rnacentral:rRNA from 1 species
UUGGAGGCAGCAGUGGGGAAUAUUGGGCAAUGGGGGAAACCCUGACCCAGCAACGCCGCGUAAAGGAAGAAGGUCUUCGGAUUGUAAACUUUUGUCCCAUGGGAAGAAAAAAAUGACGGUACCAUGGGAGGAAGCCCCGGCUAACUACGUGCCAGCAGCCGCGGUAAUACGUAGGGGGCGAGCGUUGUCCGGAAUUACUGGGCGUAAAGGGUGCGCAGGCGGCUUGUCAAGUCGUGUGUGAAAUACCCGGGCUUAACCCGGGGGGUGCAUACGAAACUGGCGAGCUUGAGUGCAGGAGAGGGGAGCGGAAUUCCUAGUGUAGCGGUGAAAUGCGUAGAUAUUAGGAGGAACACCAGUGGCGAAGGCGGCUCUCUGGACUGCAACUGACGCUGAGGCACGAAAGCGUGGGGAGCAAACAGGAUUAGAUACCCUGGUAGG